GCGCGCAGGGGCUGCCGGUACCGUGUGUGCGGGUGGGCCCGGGUAAGGAGCUCCAGCCAUGGCGGCGGUGUGAGGAGAGGAGGAGGUGUGGAGCCCGUGUGAGGCCGGAGGGGAAGUGCUGCACCAUGCUGACUGCCCCAGCAGAUAGCUCUGGUGACUACAAAAAGCAGCAGAUGGAACUGAGCCAGAGCCAUAGCAGCUCUGGUUUGCACUACUCAGAAGAUACCUUUGAGUCCUUCAGUGAGGAGGAGGAAGCCCACUGGCAGAGAGAAAGUGACCCACCUGAAUCAUGUUGUUCCACAGAGGAUUUGGAGGGCUCUGCUGUGUCAGAUGAGCAGCCUGAAGUAGCAGAUUCUGCAGCUGCAGAAAGAGAUCUCGUGGGACGCUGGAUUGGUCUAAUAACUAAAAAAUCUGACAUUAAGCAAGACAGAUCGGUCAUCAAAACUCAUGCUGAAAUGAGUGAACUCUCAGAUGAAGAACUGGAUGCUCUCAGGUCCUUUUGCACUAAGAAGAUAAGUGGGAUGCAUCAGCAGCUGAUCUCCAAGCAGACAAAUGGUGACAAGUCAAGAAAGCUGCAGCUGGGAUUGACAGCAAAGAAACCAGACACAAAUGACUUGAGCUGCGUUGUUCCUGAUGGGCUGAUGAACAGAAUCCGCCUGAAAAACAUCGGUGAGACUGUUAAACAGGUGACAGAAACUCGGAUCCACGAUCCCUCGGUGUGCCCUGACUGUCAGGAGAAGGAGGCAGAGCUAGCCAAGAUCACCUUCUGCAGAAGAAAGAAGGUUCUGAUGGAAAGUGCUUUAAUUCAAGAGAAAUUGGAAGAACAGAUUUACUUAAGAGAUACGUUUACACUUCUAGGAGAAGCACUCAGAAGCUUACCCAAACCUUCAGAGGAUCCCAGGAACCUAAGGCAAAGGCUGAAAGGAUUCUGUGGAUCUUUGCACUGACAGCAGCAUGAUCUGUAUGGGAGGAAAGGGAGGGGGAGCAUAUACCUUCUGUCAGUAAGAUAAAGGAUGCAUCGAGUUUGGUGGCUGUCUGAAAUCCUCAGCUUCAUCGAAAUGAUGAAGGCCAGAAAUCAGACCUAAGCUAUUGCAGUUGUGUUGUUUUAAUAGGAAGCUGAUUGUACAUAGCUGACCAUUAGGCUAACUCAAACCUCCUUUGACUUCCUGAUGACACUAAGACUGGUUGUUAAGACACAUAAAUCAGCAGCAAGUGAGAAAAAGGUAUAAUACUGUUCUCAAGUGGACACAAAACCAUCUUUCCAAAGUAAGGACGACUGACCUCAAACUAUGAACCUGCUCCUUGUGAAGCAGCAUUACAAAAUCCUCUUUGAUUUCAGUAGCAGGAGAAUCUUUGGUUCCUAUCUUCGUGUGUGUCCUGUGCUCCUCCAGACUGCAUUUUCAAGCGCUGAAUUACUUCUGGCUUUUAUACCAUCUUAAAUAUAUAUUGGCUUUUUAAUAGAGUUUCAGGCUUGCUUGCUUUCUGCUUUCAGCUUGCUUGUAAAUGUCCCUGCUGCCUUUCAAAUUGUCUCUUCUAUUUUUAUUGCAUUACGGAAGAAUGCGCCUCCUGCCUCUAAAUUUGCAUCUUUUUGAUGUAGAAAACAUUUGUAUGAAAUGUAUCCAUCAUGUUGCAAACCUGCUAUGUAAAUGAUGCUUUUCUCCUCAUCCAGAGCUAGUGUAGCAAGACAUCUACUGAUACCCUUGCGCCCGAAAUUGCAGGUGAAAGCCACAGGGGGAGUGAGAGCAAAUGAAAGCAGGGACAAGGGGAGGAGGGAAGGAGGAAGGAAUGGGAGAAGUAAAGAAGGAAGGAAAGGCCUCAGAGAGCUUGUAGUGAGAUGCUUUAGCCUUGCUACUUAUUUUUCCCUGCGUCUUUGAUAGACUCGCAUGUAAGAGCAAAAGGCCAGUUUUUAGGAAUGUCUUAAGUACGUAAGUCCACCCUUGCCAUUUGGGUUUUGAAAAUGGCAAGGGUGAACUUAUGUACGUCUUAAGAGUUGUUGCACAACUUAUGUCCAGCAUCUUUGGGUGCUUAAAAUACUUUUGGAAAUCAUAAGGUUUCAGGUCUACAAAGUGCUGAUGAGCUUCCAGCUGAGAGCCAGUUGGGAUUCCUGCUUCCCAGCAGGUUCUGGAGGUAUGGGCUAAAAUGGUAAAUGUUGGGUUGUUACAGAACAACUGUUCAGGUAUGUUUGCAGUGUCAUGGGGUUUGUAGGUGUUAAACACUAUGGGCUUAUCUGAGGAGUCCUAAAAUUGAACCACCUCUUUAUGCCUCUAUUUUCUGUAUUGUUGAUCUCAGAACAGAAAAUGUGCUCUGUUUUUACACAUAGUCAUCCUUAGAAAUAUGUCUUGCAUAAACCCUUUGUGGUUGCACCCAGUGAUAUAAGUGACAACGUAGAUAAAGAUUUAAGCAAGUUGAUUAAUCUUUUAAUUCAGUGUAUAAAGUUCUAGUCCUGAUCUCUCAGAAUGCUGAAUGCUGUUUUUAUGCCAGUGAGCAAGAAAACUCUGCUUUUAGCAGUUGUUCAACUUAUUCUGUCUUCACUAGACCUGAGGUUUUGUCUUUUCUUAUGCCAGAAGAAAAAAAAAGUGUGAGUUUAAAAACCACUUGUAGUAACUCAUUCCCACAUUGGUCGGAUCCAUAAGCCAACAGAAAGUUCCUGUAAAAGGAACAGUGGGAUCCUGCUUUUCUUUAGAGCUGCAGUGGGCUUGGCUAACUUGAAGGGACAGCCUGCGUAUGACAAAGGUGAUUUCUGAGCAGAACCUGGUACCAUCUUACCUCUGCAUAGAAAGGUGCUGAGCAAAACAGCUCCUUUUGACGCAGGUGGAAGUUGCAGUGUGUGACUGCUCAGGCUCGUGUGGGCAUGGACCCUAAGUGUAACAUGCUGUUUCUGUGGGCAUUUAGUUGAUAGAGAACCAUCACAGAGCUAAUUCUGGGGUAUAAGAUUUUAAUUUUAGUUAAGCAGUGCCUGAAGUGUGGAGCAGUUGAAGCACCAGGCCUGUUGUGUUGGAGAUCUAGACUCUGUCUGGAGUUCAUAUUCAUCCCACUGAUUUUAUUGGUGACUUCUCAUGAUAGCAGAACAUGUUAAUUUAGUGUAACUGUGAUUUGAUAAACACCAGCAGCUUUUUAAGGUGUGAUUACAGCCUUCUUGUAACUGCAUGCUUUGGCAGAUGCUCUCUUUUGUCUGCAUAAAGCCCAAAUCCUUAUGGAAGAUGAUGGUGUCUGUUACCUGGACCAAACUACACGUAAGUUAUGUUACAGACUAAGCACUUGAUUAAUUUCCUCCUUAAAACAGUGUUUCUAAACUGUACUUGUGGUAGAUAUUUUAGACCUUGUCUGUAUGGUGGUGAGAGGGAAGUUUAUCAUUCUGAUCAAUGAAAUCCUUGUAUGACAUUUUGAGGGUAGCUUUGAAACUGUACAUUAAAUGCUCCCUAUAGGUGUUCAGACAGGCUGAGCCACACUGCAGUAAAUGUGUCGGGAAGAGACACUGAGUGUUACACCUUUCUGUGCUCAUACCUAGGGAAGGGUUUGAUUCUUUUUCCCUUUUAAAUCUGGGAAACAGUGCUGUAUCGAAGUGCUGCUCUCUGAACAGCUGAACAUGUCUGUUCCUUCAUGCUCAUCACUUCGAAAUAGGCUUUAGUGCAUUUUAAAAGCUAUGUUGAGGUUGUCUUUCUCACAACAGCACAAACUAGUCCUUGUUUUGGAGAGUGGAUUUUCCUGCUAAGCCAUUCUUCACUUUUCCUGCUAAAGGCACAGUCUUAGAUCAUCAGCUAAAAAAUGUACCCUGUGGAAUGGGGAGUCUUUUUCCCUUGAGAAUUGUCUUUCAUGCUUAACUUUUUGCUAAUUCAGUUCCUACUCAUUUCUUUUGCACAACAUUCUUUGCUCUUCCCACACACCUUUCAAAUCAAGGGUGAUUACAGAGGCAGCCUCUCAAUGCCUUCAUUACUCUGUAUUUUAAACGUUGCUUCAACUUGCUCAGCGAUUUUUAUUCCCCCCUUCCCAAUUUGCCUGCUUCUGGGAUCAGUUUAUUCUCCUCCUCUGUGGUACUGGGUUCUUUGGAGUCAGAACGAGUACUUACCAGUCCAGGUACAAGUGCAUAUUUAAUUGUUCUCUGGAGUUAUAGGAUAUAUGAAACCUGAAAGCUGUUCAGAGCUGAAUUCAAAUGAACAAACCCCAAACCUAAGAACCUUCAUAAAAUAGGAUCUGAAGGCAAUCCAUGGCCUUUUCAUUCAAUUCUCUUCUACUUUACGGGUGAAGGAGUGUGACUCUAGGCUAACUGGUUGUGAAAGGGAGAUGAACAGAUGAGAUCUGUUUCGUAUCCCCCUCCCUCUUCUCACCUCUCUUCUUUUUUAUUCCUUCCCUACCGCUAGCAAGGAAAGGAAUUAUAAAUGGGGUGUUUGCAGCCUUUCUCUUGGAUCUGAAAUCUGCCAGGGUUGAAACUCCUGCAGGGAUAACAUUUUGUCUUUAAAUGUGCCAAAGAGCAAAAGACUAUUUGAACAUUCAGGUCUUCAUCCAACUCAUUUGAAAAGAAAACUCUUCUCCUUUCAGCCACUGUGCCUAUUUGUGACAAAUAGUUAUAGCCCAGGACUACAAUAUAUUCCAUACUCAUAUUCACCUUUAAAACUGUGCAAGGAAAAUAAGUUGUUACAGGGUGGGAGGAAGCAGGGGGCUGAGAGGGGGAGUGAUGAAUGUCACUUUAAAUGCAGCUACUUUGUGCCGUUUCUGGAAUAAGAGCACAUUUCUUUUCCCACAGCAUGGGCUGGAGACAGGCUCUGUGUAAUUUGAGGGCUGUAGGUAAGCAGAAAGCACCUUGUUCCUCCUCACUGCCUCCCUCUCUGGUCUGAAAGCCCAGGCAGCAUGUCCCUGGGGUGGGUAGAGCUCAUGUGCACUGUGGCAAAUGAGUAGGCAAGAGGGGAGAAGGGAAUAAAGAUAUUAAGGAUUUGGUG